UGGGGAAUAUUGCACAAUGGGCGAAAGCCUGAUGCAGCAACGCCGCGUGAGGGACGACGGCCUUCGGUUGUAACCUCUUUAGCAAGGAAGAAGCGAAAGUGACGGUACUUGCAGAAAAAGCGCCGGCUAACUACGUGCCAGCAGCCGCGGUAAUACGUAGGGCGCAAGCGUUAUCCGGAAUUAUUGGGCGUAAAGAGCUCGUAGGCGGUUUGUCGCGUCUGCUGUGAAAACCCGAGGCUCAACCUCGGGCCUGCAGUGGGUACGGGCAGACUAGAGUGCGGUAGGGGAGAUUGGAACUCCUGGUGUAGCGGUGGAAUGCGCAGAUAUCAGGAAGAACACCGAUGGCGAAGGCAGAUCUCUGGGCCGUAACUGACGCUGAGGAGCGAAAGGGUGGGGAGCAAACAGGCUUAGAUGACCCUGGUAGUCCACCCGUAAACGUUGGGAACUAGUUGUGGGUCCAUUCCACGGAUUCCGUGACGCAGCUAACGCAUUAAGUUCCCCGCCUGGGGAGUAC
rnacentral:rRNA from 1 species